UAUUAGCGCCAGUACUUUCCCGGACGAAUGAUAUGGAGAGUUGACGAGGUGGAAGGAGUAUCGAAAGUUCGGCGGAUGCCUUCCCGCAUCAUCCGGGUGCGUCAUAUGCCGUUAAACCCUGCGGGCGACCGCAGCUUACAGAGG
rnacentral:ncRNA from 1 species